rnacentral:piRNA from 1 species
UGGGAUGAAUGGUCAGCUCUCUGAC